rnacentral:rRNA from 1 species
UACGUAGGCGGCUAUUCAAGUCAGAGGUGAAAGCCCGGGGCUCAACCCCGGAACUGCCUUUGAAACUAGAUAGCUAGAGUCUUGGAGAGGUUAGUGGAAUUCCGAGUGUAGAGGUGAAAUUCGUAGAUAUUCGGAAGAACACCAGUGGCGAAGGCGACUAACUGGACAAGUACUGACGCUGAGGUACGAAAGCGUGGGGAGCAAACA